rnacentral:piRNA from 1 species
UGGAUGCUCUUGUCCUUUGCUGAGGUAC